AGAUAGUUGGUGAGGUAAUGGCUCACCAAGUCAAUGACGCCUAACUGGUUUGAGAGGAUGAUCAGUCACACUGGAACUGAGACACGGUCCAGACUCCUACGGGAGGCAGCAGUGGGGAAUAUUGCACAAUGGAGGAAACUCUGAUGCAGCAACGCCGCGUGGAGGAUGACACUUUUCGGAGCGUAAACUCCUUUUAUAUAGGAAGGUAAUGACGGUACUAUAUGAAUAAGCACCGGCUAACUCCGUGCCAGCAGCCGCGGUAAUACGGAGGGUGCAAGCGUUACUCGGAAUCACUGGGCGUAAAGAGCCUGUAGGCGGAUGGAUAAGUUUGAAGUGAAAUCCAAUGGCUUAACCAUUGAACUGCUUUGAAAACUGUCUAUCUAGAAUAUGGGAGAGGUAGAUGGAAUUUCUGGUGUAGGGGUAAAAUCCGUAGAGAUCAGAAGGAAUACCGAUUGCGAAGGCGAUCUACUGGAACAUUAUUGACGCUGAGACGCGAAAGCGUGGGGAGCAAACAGGAUUAGAUACCCUGGUAGUCCACGCCCUAAACGAUGUACACUAGUUGUUGCGAUGCUAGACAUUGCAGUAAUGCAGUUAACACAUUAAGUGUACCGCCUGGGGAGUACGGUCGCAAGAUUAAAACUCAAAGGAAUAGACGGGGACCCGCACAAGCGGUGGAGCAUGUGGUUUAUUCGACAUACGCGAAGAACCUUACCUGGACUUGACAUAGUAAGAACUUUCUAGAGAUAGAUUGGUGUCUGCUUGCAGAAACUUAUAUACAGGUGCUGCACGGCUGUCGUCAGCUCGUGUCGUGAGAUGUUGGGUUAAGUCCCGCAACGAGCGCAACCCUCGUCGUUAGUUGCUAACGGUUCGGCUGAGAACUCCAACGAGACUGCCUACGCAAGUAGGAGGAAGGUGAGGACGACGUCAAGUCAUCAUGGCCCUUACGUCCAGGGCUACACACGUGCUACAAUGGGGCAUACAAAGAGCAGCAAUACGGUGACGUGGAGCAAAUCUCAAAAAUGCCUCCCAGUUCGGAUAGUAGUCUGCAACUCGACUACUUGAAGUUGGAAUCGCUAGUAAUCGUAGAUCAGCAAUGCUACGGUGAAUACGUUCCCGGGUCUUGUACUCACCGCCCGUCACACCAUGGGAGUUGAACUCAUUCGAAGCGGGGAUGCUAAAGUAGCUACCCUCCACAGUGGAUUCAGCGACUGGGGUGAAGUCGUAACAAGGUAACCGUAGGAGAACCUGCAGUUG
rnacentral:rRNA from 1 species